rnacentral:other from 1 species
UUCCGCCUGCCCUGUUCGUGUAUUUCGUCUAUUAUAACCCUACAAGCUACUAAACGGGAGUCUUACUCUUUGUGUGGGUAUGCAGGCCUCCCGAGUUUUCUCGGACGUUGGAAGCACAAAGCACGAAGGAGGACCCCCACCUGCCGUACCGCCGGUUAUCAAUCGACGCUGUGCGGCAGGGCGGGGUCAAA